UGCUUAACACAUGCAAGUCGAACGGCAGCAUGAUCUAGCUUGCUAGAUUGAUGGCGAGUGGCGCACGGGUGAGUAACGCGUAGGAAUAUACCUUGAAGAGGGGGAUAACUUGGGGAAACUCAAGCUAAUACCGCAUAGAAUCUGAGGAUGAAAGCUGGGGACCUUAGGGCCUGGCGCUUUAAGAUUAGCCUGCGUCCGAUUAGCUAGUUGGUGGGGUAAGGGCCUACCAAGGCGACGAUCGGUAGCUGGUCUGAGGGGAUGACCAGCCACACUGGGACUGAGACACGGCCCAGACUCCUACGGGAGGCAGCAGUGGGGAAUAUUGGACAAUGGGGGGAACCCUGAUCCAGCAAUGCCGCGUGUGUGAAGAAGGCCUGAGGGUUGUAAAGCUC
rnacentral:rRNA from 1 species